rnacentral:tRNA from 1 species
UUAGCUCAGCUGGGAGAGCACCUGCUUUGCAAGCAGGGGGUCGUCGGUUCGAUCCCGACA